GAUCCUGGCUCAGGAUGAACGCUGGCGGCGUGCUUAACACAUGCAAGUCGAGCGAAGCACUUUACUUGGAUUUCUUCGGAAUGACGAGUAUUGUGACUGAGCGGCGACGGGUGAAGGUAACGCGUGGGUAACCUGCCUCAUACAGGGGGAUAACAGUUAGAAAUGACUGCUAAUACCGCAUAAGACCACAGCACCGCAUGGUGCAGAGGUAAAAACUCCGGUGGUAUGAGAUGGACCCGCG
rnacentral:rRNA from 1 species